rnacentral:rRNA from 1 species
AGCAGCCGCGGUAAUUCCAGCUCCAAUAGCGUAUAUUAAAGUUGUUGCAGUUAAAAAGCUCGUAGUUGAAUUUCGGGAUCAAUAUGUCGGUCGUGCCUUCGGUACGCACUGGUAUCAUUGGUCUCUCCUUUCUGACGAACCAUGAUGUCAUUAAUUUGGUGUCAUGGGGAAUCAGGACUGUUACUUUGAAAAAUUAGAGUGUUUAAAGCAGGCUCGCGCUUGAAUACAUUAGCAUGGAAUAAUGAAAUAGGACGUUUAAUUCUAUUUUGUUGGUUUCUAGGAUUGACGUAAUGAUUAAUAGGGAUAGUUGGGGGCAUUAGUAUUCAAUUGUCAGAGGUGAAAUUCUUGGAUUUAUUGAAGACUAACUACUGCGAAAGCAUUUGCCAAGGAUGUUUUCAUUAAUCAAGAACGAAAGUUAGGGGAUCGAAGACGAUCAGAUACCGUCGUAGUCUUAACCAUAAACUAUGCCGACUAGGGAUCGGAUGAUGUUAAUUUUUAAUGACUCGUAA